AACACUUUAGAUUGAAAAUUAGCAACGAUAAAAAAAAACUCAAAGCCAAAGUGAAAAUCUUGGAUGGCCAAGCUGAAGUUGGAAUGUGAGAAGUAUUGAAGAGAAACAGGCAUGAAAAGGUGCUUUGCAAAGAGCUGAAGGUUUUCAGGUAAAAAACAAUGUGGAAUGGCUUGCUAAAUCUAUUAUGAAACAAGAUGAAAUCAAAUCAGAUAGUAAAAAGAAGUUGGCUGAACGCAUCGAAGAAUAGGAAAAGAGAAAGGAAUAACAACAGAAAACGAGAAAAGCCAACAUUAAGAAAAAGAAAACUGAGAAGAAAGAACAUAAACUGAAUGAACGCCUCACACUUAACAGAGGAAAAGCUGGAAUUGUCUGAUAAGACAACGAAAAUCCAAUUUAAACGGAAGUUAGAGGGAAUGAAGAAGAAAUUAAAAAGAAAAAGUAAGAAGAAGAGGUCCUGAAUUGCCAAACAUGCUCGAGCCACCAAGGCAGUAUCUGUGUCAUCAACCUCUGGUCUUUCAGAGUUUGUUAAAACAGAAAUUCCUCAACCAAGACUAGCAAGUACACUGGCAACACCAAUUUUUAACAGUGAAGGCUGCCUAGUUUCCAGCAAAUUUGAUUUUGGAGAACUAUCUAAUUCCUCACCCAUUCUGAAAAAGACCACUUUAUAUCCAGAAGUGGCAACGAUUAAAAUGAAAGAAAAUAAAACUUAAACCAAAAAUGAAUAUCUUGGUAGGCCAAGCUGAAGCUGAGAAUGCAAGAAGCAUUGAAGAGAAACAGGCAUGAAAUGGUGCUCUGCAAAUAGCUGAAGGUUUUCAGGUAAAAGACUAUGUGGAAUUGCUUGCCAAAUCAAUUAAUGAACGAGAUCAAAUCAGAAAGUAACAUAAAUUGCGCUGAACGAAUCGAAGAAAAGGAAAAGAGAAAGGAAUAACAACAGAAAAAGAGAAAAGCCAAC